CCUACGGGCGGCAGCAGUGAGGAAUAUUGGUCAAUGGGCGUAAGCCUGAACCAGCCAAGUCGCGUGAUGGAUGACGGUUCUAUGGAUCGUACACCUCUUUUAUCAGGGAAUAAAGUGUGGGACGUGUCCUAUUUUGUAUGUACCUUAUGAAUAAGGAUCGGCUAACUCCGCGCCAGCAGCCGCGGUAAUACGGAGGAUCCGAGCGUUAUCCGGAUUUAUUGGGUUUAAGGGGUGCGUCGGCGGCCUGUUAAGUCAGCUGUGAAAGUCUGUGGCUCAACCAUAGAAUUGCCGUUGAAACUGGGGGGCUUGAGUAUGGUUGAGGCAGGCGGAAUGCGUGGUGUAGCGGUGAAAUGCUUAGAUAUCACGCAGAACCCCGAUUGCGAAGGCAGCCUGCCAAGCCAUGACUGACGCUGAUGCACGAAAGCGUGGGGAUCAAACAGGAUUAGAUACCCUGGUAGUC
rnacentral:rRNA from 1 species